ensembl:snRNA U6 U6 spliceosomal RNA
GUGCUGGCUUCGGCAGCACACAUACUAAAAUUGGAACGAUAACAGAAGAUUAGCAUGGCCCCUGCAAAAUGACGAGAUGCAAAUUCAUGAAACAUCCCAUAUUUUU